rnacentral:lncRNA from 10 species
CUCAGAGGCAGCAGAUGAAGAGAUCUUGGUGGUUGUGGCCAAGGGUUAUUUUGCUUGACUCUUGGGGGAUCUACCGCAGAGAGAGAUGCAGGUGUAAGCAAUCACUCCAUCCAGUCAGCCCAAGAGAGAAGUAGUGAGUCCAUGGUGAUGCCCAGGAAAUGACUGCAGAAUAACAAAAUGCAUGUUCAGAAGGGACAACAGCAGGAGGAGGAAAAAGGGCUAUUAGCCCAAUGCUGGUAGAUCUUGGAUAUUGUUGGAAGACUGUGUUUCCUGAAAGACUGUGGUAACUUCUUAACUUGUUCAAACAGAUUGGCAUAAAUCAUGAGCUUUCCAAAGUCAAAGGUAUAAUUUCCAGGUGCAAGCUGUCUCUAAGUAUCUACAUCUUGUAAUGAUUUGAAAAAAAUUAGAACUAGAGCUUUCUAGAAGACACCUUCUCAUAUAUUAUCAAAAGACUUUACUCAAUGUAUUUUUAAAUACAAAUGAUCACCACAAAGCUCAGUGAUCCUAAUGAGAAACUGGAGUUUCCAAAUUAAUAGAUUAAUAAAUGUUUUUAGAAGAAAAUGGAAAAAGCCCAAAGGAAUUAUUAAAAGUAGUAGUCUUUUCUUAACAUAUUUUAAAUAUUUCAACUGUAUUAAAAGACAGACCCAUAAUUCUUAUGUCACACUAGCUUCUAAAAAGAGGGAUGUCAAUCACAAAGAUUAAGGACUCUCUAUACUGAAAACAGAGAACUUCCCAGAAGCAGAGAUCCUCUCGAAUCUACUUGUCUUUGAAAAACACGGGGUAGAUUAAUAUAUCCUCUUUCUCUCCUUUUUUUUUUUUGUUUUAUUUGCUUGUCAAAAGAUUAUUUAGUGGCAUUUAUUCCCCUCCUGCACUGCUCCCACUACUCAGUCCCCAGCUCUCAGCCCUUCCACAGUCUCUCAAUCACAAACAAAAGGCACAAUGGAGAAACUAAUAAAAGAACUAUGUUACUGUUCUCUGGAAUAAAUCAAAAUUUAUAUGUCCUAAGGAUAGAAGGCUCAGAUUAAAAUAUGUUUGAGACUCAGAGGAUUUACAAUAUGUUUGGCAUUCCAGUUUCAGAGAGAAAAUGGACCAAUAUGUUAGGGGAAUACUGAGGAUAUUUUAGCAGUUAUCGUCUCUCAUGCUUUUCUUCAUGAGUGUCAGUGUGAGAAAGCCAGGGAAAGCUGCUGUCCGUGAUAACCACGGAAAAGGAAAAAAUAUUCCCCAUGUUUCAAAACCAAUUCCCCGACUCUAGUCCUAAAGUGAUGGGGAACUAAGCACAACUGAGAGCCUCAGCAGUUUGUUACCUGAUAUAAAGAGAAGAUACCAUCCUAGUUCACGGCCUUUUUCUAUGUACAACUUUAAGGCAACUAACUUCUCCACUUUAAAAGUUAUGGCCAUAAAGGACUAGUUAACAGUUCACUGGAACCACCUUGCCUUUACUACCAACAGUAACAAAGUAUUUCAGUAACUUAAGGCCUAAAUAAAAUAAAAGUUAGCCACUUUAAAUAAUACUGUGGAUAUUUGUAAUAGAAUAAGUUUGAAAAGGCAUCCUUCAAACAGUCAUGGCUAGGUUUCCCAUCUCAAUCAGGGUUAAUUUAAAGUUUGCAAUCUAGGUAGAGAAGUCACUGAAUUAAAAAGAAACAUAUUUUAAGUUUGCUGUAAUUUUUUUCCCAGGAAAAAUUGGCAUCUACCUAACAACUGCAUUGUAGUCUCUUCGUGUAUAAUGGCUUUGUAGUGUAAGCAUUUAAUGUUUGCCUAUAUAGCACAACUCUAAGCAUUUUCAUUUCUUAAAUGUCAUUAAAUUAUCAGAGUGAUUGUAAUGCAACAUUUCAUGGUACAGUAACUAGAUGAAAUGCCAUAUUAUCUGCCCCAAGAACAACUGAUAGUGCCCCUUCCUGUUCAUUCAGCAAUUCACUUGCACAGUUUGCGUGGGAAAAAGAUGAUAGGUCAGUAUUAUGCAGUAUCUGUAAUUCUAAGGACCAUGGUUUAUUUAAUAGCACUGUCAGUCAAGAUCUAUGGCUUGAAGAAAUCUCAAGAGUUCAUUGUUAAUGCCACAGAGUUCAUAGGACAAUUUUCAGAAUAGUUACUUCCUUAUAAAUAGAAAAAUCUUGGGGUCAAUAAAUUGGUAUAUGUUACACUACAUUAAAAUCAUUUCUGCUAUAUCCGCUCUUGUCCCUACUUAUGUCAUUAAAAAAUUCACAUGAG